UACGUAGGGUGCGAGCGUUAAUCGGAAUUACUGGGCGUAAAGUGUGCGCAGGCGGCCGCGCAAAGUCGGAGUGUGAAAUCCCCGAGCUUAACUUGGGAAUUGCGCUCGAAACUACGUGGCUGGAGUGUGGCAGAGGAAGGUGGAAUUCCACGUGUAGCGGUGAAAUGCGUAGAGAUGUGGAGGAACACCGAUGGCGAAGGGCAGCCUUCUGGGCCAACACUGACGCUCAUGCACGAAAGCGUGGGGAGCAAACAGG
rnacentral:rRNA from 1 species